UUGCUUUCUUGCACAUAUAUAAAAUUGGAAGGCUACAGAGAUUACCAUGGCUUCUGUGCAAGGAUGACACACAAAUUUGGGAAGCACUCCAUAUUUUU
rnacentral:snRNA from 1 species